AAUCACGCUGGCGGGCGUGCCUAACACAAAUGCAAGUCGAACGAGGAAAGUGGAAGCAAUCCAUGAGUUAAAGUGGCGACCGGGUGAGUAACACGUGACUAACCUACCCUCGAGUGGGGAAUAACUCCGGGAAAACCGGGAGCUAAUACCGCAUAACAUCGCAAGAUCAAAGCAAGCAAUGCGCUUGAAGGAGGGGGUCGCGGCUAUGAAUUAGCUAGUUUGGCGGGGUAACGGCCCACCAAGGCGAAGAUCGGUUAGCCGGCCCUGAGAGGGCGCACGGCCACACUGGAAACUGAAACACGGUCCAGACUCCUACGGGAGGCAGCAGUGGGGAAUUUUGCGCAAAUGGGGGAAACCCUGACGCGCAAGCACCGCAGCGUGGAGGAUGAAGCCCUUUGGGGGCGUAAAACUCCUUUUUCGACCGGGACGUAAUAAUGACGGUACCGGUGGAAGAAGCACCGGCUAACUCUGUGCCAGCAGCCGCGGGUAAUACAGAGGGUGCAAGGUUGUUCGGAAUUAUUGGGCGUAAGGGGCGCGUAGGCGGUGCGGUAAGUCACCUGUGAAAUCUCCCCGGCUUAACUGGAGGCCUGCAGGCCGAAACUACCGUGCUGGAGUGUUGGGGAGAAGGGUGCGGUGGAAUUCCGGUGUAGCGGUGAAAUGCGUAGAUAUCGGGGAGGAACACCUGUGGCGGAAAGCGGCGCACUGGACCACAAACUGACGCUGAGGCGCGAAAAAAAGCUAGGGGAGCAAACAGGAUUAGAUACCCUGGUAGUCCUAGCCCUAAACGAUGGAUGCUUGGUGUAGGCAGGUACCAAUCCUGCUGGUGCCGCCAGCUUAACGCGUAAGUGUAAGCACCCGCCUGGGGAGUAACGGUCGCAAGGCUGAAACUCAAAGGAAUUGACGGGGGGCCCCGCACCAAGCGGUGGAGGCAUGUGGUUCAAUUCGACGCAACGCGAAAGAACCUUACCUGGGCUCGAAGCGCAGGUGGACCGGGGGUGGAAACAUCCCUUUUCGCAAGAACUGCUGCGGGGAUGUGCUGCAUGGGCUGUCGUCAGCUCGUGGUCGUGAAGAUGUUGGGUUAAGUCCCGCAACGAGCGCAAACCCUUAUCCUAGUUGCCACCUGGUUAAUGCCGAGCUACACUAGGUGAGAACUGCCUGGGAUAACCAGGAGGAAGGUGGGGGAUAAGUGACCGUCAAAGUCCUCAUGGGCCUUUAUGUCCAGGGCCUACACACCGGUGGCUACAAUGGUCGGUACAAACCGUCGCAAAAGCCCGUGAGGGGGAAGCGUAAUCGGAAAAAAAAGCCGGGCCCCCUCAGUUCGGAUUAGGAGUCUGCAAACUCGACCUCCAUGAAAGCUGGAAUCGCUAGUAAUCGCGGAUCAGAACGCCGCGGUGAAUACGUUCCCGGGCCUUGUUACACACCGCCCGUCACAUCACGAAAGUGGGCCCGUACUAGAAGCAGGUGUGCUAACCGCAAGGAAGGCAGCCUUCCAAGGUAACAGCUCAUGAUUGGGGUG
rnacentral:rRNA from 1 species